rnacentral:tRNA from 1 species
GGGAAGGAAGCUUAAGUGGUAUAAGCUACUGCCUGUUAAGCAGAAGACAGCGAGUUCGAAUCUCGCCCUUCCCG